GGAUUUGGCAAUUAACUCCGAAUGCAAAUUUGUUGUAACAACUGUGUCUUCCACAAUAGUUAACACGUCUUGGAGAAGUGUUCUUUGCUGUUGUAUCACCUGAUGAAUAUCGUUAAUGUGUUGCUUUAGCGCAUAGAUUUCCAUAUCCAGCUUUUGGACAGUAAUAGAGUUGGCUGCAGACAUUCCAGUUGCGACAACUGCACCGACAGUGGCACAAAGU